GACGAACGCUGGCGGCGUGCUUAACACAUGCAAGUCGAACGGAAAGGCCCUGCUUUUGUGGGGUGCUCGAGUGGCGAACGGGUGAGUAACACGUGAGUAACCUGCCCUUGACUUUGGGAUAACUUCAGGAAACUGGGGCUAAUACCGGAUAGGAGCUCCUGCUGCAUGGUGGGGGUUGGAAAGUUUCGGCGGUUGGGGAUGGACUCGCGGCUUAUCAGCUUGUUGGUGGGGUAGUGGCUUACCAAGGCUUUGACGGGUAGCCGGCCUGAGAGGGUGACCGGGCACAUGGGGACUGAGAUACGGCGCAGACUCGUACGGGAGGCAGCAGUGGGGAAUAUUGCACAAUGGGCGGAAGCCUGAUGAAGCAACGCCGCGUGCGGGAUGACGGCCUUCGGGUUGUAAACCGCUUUCGCCUGUGACGAAGCGUGAGUGACGGUAAUGGGUAAAGAAGCACCGGCUAACUACGUG
rnacentral:rRNA from 1 species